rnacentral:rRNA from 1 species
AGUGAACGCUGGCGGUAGGCCUAACACAUGCAAGUCGAACGGCAGCACAGGAGAGCUUGCUCUCUGGGUGGCGAGUGGCGGACGGGUGAGGAAUACAUCGGAAUCUACUCUGUCGUGGGGGAUAACGUAGGGAAACUUACGCUAAUACCGCAUACGACCUACGGGUGAAAGCAGGGGACCUUCGGGCCUUGCGCGAUUGAAUGAGCCGAUGUCGGAUUAGCUAGUUGGCGGGGUAAAGGCCCACCAAGGCGACGAUCCGUAGCUGGUCUGAGGGGAGGAUCAGCCACACUGGAACUGAGACACGGUCCAGACUCCUACGGGAGGCAGCAGUGGGGAAUAUUGGACAAUGGGCGCAAGCCUGAUCCAGCCAUACCGCGUGGGUGAAGAAGGCCUUCGGGUUGUAAAGCCCUUUUGUUGGGAAAGGAAUCCAGCUGGCUAGUACCCGGUUGGGAUGACGGUACCCAAAGAAUAAGCACCGGCUAACUUCGUGCCAGCAGCCGCCGUAA